UACUCAGGAGUUUGAGGUGAGAGCAUUGC
rnacentral:piRNA from 1 species